ACGGGUGAGUAACGCGUAAAGAACUUGCCCUUUAGACUGGGAUAACAGAGGGAAACUUCUGAUAAUACUGGAUAAGUUAGUAUAUCGCAUGAUAUGCAAAUGAAAGCUACGGCACUAAAGGAGAGCUUUGCGUCCUAUUAGCUAGUUGGUAAGGUAAGAGCUUACCAAGGCGAUGAUAGGUAGCCGGCCUGAGAGGGUGGACGGCCACAAGGGGACUGAGAUACGGCCCUUACUCCUACGGGAGGCAGCAGCG
rnacentral:rRNA from 1 species